GAACCCUUCCGCCCCUUACGAAAAAUCAAAGUCUUUGGGUUCUNNNNGACUUAAGCAUAUCAAUAAGCGGAGGAAAAGAAACCAACAGGGAUUGCCUCAGUAACGGCGAGUGAAGCGGCAACAGCUCAAAUUUGAAAUCUGACUUCGGUCCGAGUUGUAAUUUGUAGAGGAAGUCUCGGGUGCGAUACUGGUCUAAGUUCCUUGGAACAGGACGUCAUAGAGGGUGAGAAUCCCGUAUGCGACUGGUGGUCAACCCCAUGUGAGGCCCCUUCGACGAGUCGAGUUGUUUGGGAAUGCAGCUCAAAAUGGGUGGUAAAUUUCAUCUAAAGCUAAAUACCGGCCAGAGACCGAUAGCGCACAAGUAGAGUGAUCGAAAGAUGAAAAGCACUUUGGAAAGAGAGUUAAAAAGUACGUGAAAUUGUUGAAAGGGAAGCGCUUGCAACCAGACUUGCUCGCGGGUGAUCCACCGUCCCUCGGGGCGGUCUACUCUCCCGUGAUCAGGCCAACAUCGGUUUCGGUGGCUGGAUACAGGCUCCGGGAAUGUGGCUCCCUCCGGGGAGUGUUAUAGCCCGGGGUGCAAUGCAGCCCGCCGGGACCGAGGACCGCGCUUCGGCUUAGGAUGUUGGCGUAAU
rnacentral:rRNA from 1 species